rnacentral:rRNA from 1 species
GACGAACGCUGGCGGCGUGCUUAACACAUGCAAGUCGAACGGAAAGGCCCCUUCGGGGGUACUCGAGUGGCGAACAGGUGAGUAACACGUGAGUAACCUGCCCUUGACUUCGGGAUAACUUCAGGAAACUGGGGCUAAUACCGGAUAGGAAUCCUUGCUGCAUGGUGGGGGUUGGAAAGCUUCGGCGGUUUUUGAUGGACUCGCGGCUUAUCAGCUUGUUGGUGGGGUAGUGGCUUACCAAGGCUUUGACGGGUAGCCGGCCUGAGAGGGCGACCGGCCACAUUGGGACUGAGAUACGGCCCAGACUCCUACGGGAGGCAGCAGUGGGGAAUAUUGCACAAUGGGCGGAAGCCUGAUGCAGCAACGCCGCGUGCGGGAUGACGGCCUUCGGGUUGUAAACCGCUUUCAGCAGGGGCGAAGCUUGUGGUGACGGUACCUGCAGAAGAAGCACCGGCUAACUACGUG